rnacentral:rRNA from 1 species
CAGGCCUAACACAUGCAAGUCGAGCGGACCAUUCCUUCGGGGAUGGUUAGCGGCGGACGGGUGAGUAACACGUAGGCAACCUGCCUGUAAGAUCGGGAUAACUACUGGAAACGGUAGCUAAGACCGGAUAGCUGGUUUCUCCGCAUGGGGGAAUCAUGAAACACGGGGCAACCUGUGGCUUACGGAUGGGCCUGCGGCGCAUUAGCUAGUUGGUGGGGUAACGGCCCACCAAGGCGACGAUGCGUAGCCGACCUGAGAGGGUGAUCGGCCACACUGGGACUGAGACACGGCCCAGACUCCUACGGGAGGCAGCAGUAGGGAAUCUUCCGCAAUGGGCGCAAGCCUGACGGAGCAACGCCGCGUGAGUGAUGAAGGUUUUCGGAUCGUAAAGCUCUGUUGCCAAGGAAGAACGCCUCGGAGAGUAACUGCUCUGAGGGUGACGGUACUUGAGAAGAAAGCCCCGGCUAACUACGUGCCAGCAGCCGCGGUAAUACGUAGGGGGCAAGCGUUGUCCGGAAUUAUUGGGCGUAAAGCGCGCGCAGGCGGUCUUUUAAGUUUGGUGUUUAAGCCCGGGGCUCAACCCCGGUUCGCACUGAAAACUGGGAGACUUGAGUGCAGGAGAGGAAAGCGGAAUUCCACGUGUAGCGGUGAAAUGCGUAGAGAUGUGGAGGAACACCAGUGGCGAAGGCGGCUUUCUGGACUGUAACUGACGCUGAGGCGCGAAAGCGUGGGGAGCAAACAGGAUUAGAU